rnacentral:rRNA from 2 species
UUUUAUGGAGAGUUUGAUCCUGGCUCAGGACGAACGCUGGCGGCGUGCCUAAUACAUGCAAGUCGAGCGGACUGAUGGGAGCUUGCUCCCUGAUGUUAGCGGCGGACGGGUGAGUAACACGUGGGCAACCURCCUGUAAGACUGGGAUAACUCCGGGAAACCGGGGCUAAUACCGGAUAACCCGUUCCACCUCAUGGUGGAGCGGUAAAAGAUGGCCUCUGGCUAUCACUUACAGAUGGGCCCGCGGCGCAUUAGCUAGUUGGUAAGGUAACGGCUUACCAAGGCGACGAUGCGUAGCCGACCUGAGAGGGUGAUCGGCCACACUGGGACUGAGACACGGCCCAGACUCCUACGGGAGG